AGAAAUAAAAACGGUCAGGUUGUAAAGCACCGGGUGCCCGUGCGGUCCAGGAACCGUGCAACGUUAUCACUUACAAUCUCUAUCGAGAAAUAUCGGGGAAAGUUACGCGGUUGCCGAGAAAAUCGUUUCUGGAUUAUACAGAUUUAUUUGCGCCUCCCAGACUUGUACGCUUCGCGAAACAUCACGUUGCCAAAGCAACGUGAAUUUAUUAUAGACACGCGGACAACGCGCGAAAACACAAAUCACGUAAACGUAACGAAAUGGGGGCUUCAUCGCGCGAAUAAUAAUAACGAGUAUAAAUGUAUCGGAACAUUAAGAAAUUGUCAAUAACAUUUUGCGAUGGAAAUAAAAUUAAUGAUACGUCGAAUUUACGGGCGUGUUUUUCGUCUGUGUAUUAAGGUAAUUAUCGCGUCCAUCGAUUGCGAUUGCGUUUCGGUAAUGCGACGAGAUAUUAUCAAUAACUCCUCCAUUGUUGGAGUAAAUUACGCGAGAAAAUUGAGCAACACAGGCCGUUUUUAUUACCAUUUUCCAUCCAUCGUUUCAUUCGCGUAAUCCACUAUUAUGUUUUCUAAUUUGAAACGAGUUCCUAAAGUAACAUUUUCGAAAGCUCCGAUUUAAAUUCAUGUAAAUUGAUACUGAAAUCCCCGCAAUUCUCAAGACGCCAUCUAAAGAAGCUUCCGCAUUCUCCGUACGCGCCCUUGGGAACCACGGUCCCGACACGCAGUAAAAUGUAACUUCGAAUCGAGCCCCCGAUACCGCAAUGCGUAAGAAAACCACGAAGCUCCGUCUGACCUACAAUGCAGGCCACAAGUGAGAAAAGUGCGAUUUGGAAAUAAUUAAGGACAGCCCCGAGAGUUGAGACUGGAAUUAGUUGAAAACCAUUCGAGAUGCCGGAGAGCUAGAUUCGCAUUAGCGCUACCAGAGAAAAGUUUUCAAUCCGCGGAACACACAUUCCAGGGAAUGGCCGACGAAGACGCGGGGAAAAGUCGGAGAUGGAGCAAAAAUCUCCCAGGACCUAGUAGCUGGAUGCAGCACGGCUGCAUUCUGACAGUGACGUAUACGAACUGUGCCACGGUGGCCGGGGGACCUAAAUUGUUUCGAAGUAAAUAGCGCAACGGGAGCCUCGGUGGCUAGCAAAUUGCAUCCACGGCACUUUAGGACGAUAUCCUCCUACGCCCCUUUCGUAACGACCCCUCAGACCGGUCUGCAAUUUAUCUGGCAACGGAUGACCACCGCUGCAAUGCAAGCUCGUUCAGAACCUGUAUUUUAAUGCGUUGCAAGCGGCAAGAAUUUCCUUUAAUCAUCCCUGGAAUUUUAUUUGCUCCCAUUAAUUACGUUAAAAAACCGUUAUCUCGAACAGGUGCCCUACCUCGCUCCGACAUCGCCAAAUAUUAGGUCAUCCCGUAAGUUCCUGCUGCAGACUAUGCCGAUAUUUAAUAAAAAAUUACAGAAAUUUUAUAGUGACGGUAUAAUGACUAUGUGAAAAAGAUGGGAAGAUAUUACGAAAUGAGAGAGAUUAUCUUUUUCUAUAGCACCUAAGGAUAUGUCACACUAAUUUGAGUAGCAGAAGAAUAAGUGUCAUGAACUUUUAGGACGACCUAAUACAUCACGCGUGGGCGAUAAAUACUAAGGGUGGACAGCGCACUGCAUCGUCGAAGACGCUACGUCUAGUCGUUUGCUUGGAAUUUUCGAAUACUCGUCUGUUUCAUAUUUUAUUUACAAUGCUCUUCAUUUCUCACGCUCUUGAGGCGUAACUGCGCCGCAUACCCGCGAGUAAAUGAAUAGAACGCUCUUUAUUGCGUUCAGCGUUGACGCCUAUGAUUUACGCGUAAUACGUCGGUACCAUUUACAUCCUCUUGGAGAGUAAUUUGCACGGAAAGCUGCAGCGAUACAGCAAUGCAGUGGGAGUGCAGGUGCGAGAUGCUAACCGUGCGCUAACGUUAAAUCAAAUAUGUAUCAGGAACGGGUGGGUAGGUAUUAGCCAAGAGAGAUACAUCUGAUUAAUCCUUAAGUGUGCUAAAAUGGCGGUAAUUGCCGAUAAUUAUUGAGGCGAGUCGUAUUAAUUAAAUAUCGCGAACUCUGCUGUAAAUGCGAUCACUAAAAUAAUAAUCUUAACGAAACGGAAGAAAAGAGUCAAAGUUGCCAGAAAAAAACAAGAAAUAUAAUUACCACGAUAACUUCGGCGAUAAACAGUCUUUAAAUUUUCUGGCACCACAGCUUCGAAACCGUUCAAUAAAGGCACGAAGAUGCUCUUUGGGGGGAGCUGAGUGGAGUGGGAAGGACGAAACUACCCGAAACUUCCGUAACGACUAAUCUGAUCCAGAGAGUAGCAAUGCAGCAAGACGCAAACGAAACUAACGCAGCUAUAAUUGCCGCAACACCGUCGUGCACGAGUUAUAGCGAACGGAGAAGCAUACCAUGAAUCCACAGUGAGCGUCGCGAUGUCUCCUUCGGAAGCGAAGGAGAGGCGGACAGAGAGUCACCAAAGAGCCACGCAACUAAACAUGUGUAUUGUCAUCAGAUGGUUUGGUACAAAGCAAAAGGACCACCUACGGGGACAUCGCGACAUGACAGCUGGUCGGUUCUCGUCGUUCUUGGUUAAACUACCCCCUACAAUCUCGGGAUUGUAACAACACUCUAACCCCUCGCCUCGACUAAAUAAAUGCCUCAUUAGUCUCAACGUACAAGAAGCCUGGGAAGAAUGUGGCGGAAUACUUAUCCAUAUAGAAGUUUCGAAUAUCAAGAGAGAAAUAAACAACGCGAACAAAUCAAUUACGUUAGUUUAUUCGUCAUUUAUUGUAUAAUCAGUCAAGCAUUUCUGGUCCCACAAAUUUUGCGAGAACCCUCGAGUCAACUAUAGAAGCCGCAAUGUCACGAGUAACGUAACGCCGAUUCGAAUCUGUGACAUGGAGAUUGGCCAAGUCAAAGGAAACCAUUUUUGGCAGAAUUAUUGGAGUCCGUCCAAAUUAACUAUUUCACCGCGCUGUUAUGCCCCGACUCGGAACUUUCGAAUUAUUACGAGCUUUCUUAGCUUUAUGAACAGCGUUGAAGGGUUAUUUUCAGUCGCUGGUUUCAAACAAAAAUCUACUUUCUACUACAGUUUCUACGAUUUUUAUUUUUAUUUGUAAUUUUGCCUCUCGUUAAAGUAUAAUUGAGGUUAUUAGUCCACCAUCGAACGAUCCCAUAACCGUACUCAACAAUCUUACAUUAAAAUUUCAAACUACACGCUUUUACGGUUCUCGCGCAAAAAAAAAAUUGUACGAAGAACACCUUCCUGCUCUCGAAAAGGAGAAUUAAAUUGAUCAUCGUGCGUUUAUACGCUUCCCGCUGUAUCAUUGAAAUUAAUGAAUUGUCUGCGCAUUUAGAACAGUGGAGGUGAAAGAAUUUCCCAGCAGACGAAGAAAGAUACUCUUGUUUACGACCGCGGCGUUCAUAACGGACAGAGGAGAUGAAUAUUCAUGAAGACGGGGGCCCGUAUAUCAAGGUAACACCAAUUGCGGUUCACUACAAGCGUUUCGCGUCUGCACGCGUGUAUUUAACUUAACGAGCCGGUGCACCCUCGGCAAUUUCUACGUUUCUAACUCCAUUCCCAACAAAUUAACUGCGACGAAUCGAAGACGCCGCUCCACGGGCCAAACGAAACUCUCGAGCAAAAAGUAGUACCGCAAAUUGAAGUUUAGGUUGAAUCGCAUCGCGUACGAACUCAAUUAACCCGCCAAACCAUUACCUCUUCUUUAAAAUUGAAUUUUACUUUCAUCACGUUGUAGUCGAAGAUAUAAACUAAACUAACUCAUUACGCGUUAGAUUUUUCCAAAAUA